rnacentral:misc_RNA from 1 species
UUAACCAAAGUAGUAUGCUUAAAUCAUGUUAUUUAUUUAUUCAUUUUAAAAUCAUGUUAACACUGUUCUUAGCUUGAGAGCAAUAGCAAAAAAUGUGUGCGCUUAAUUUCCAAUUUACACUUGCCCAAAAUAACUUCAAAUAUAACAUGGAAAUUUAAUGGAACAAUUAUGUGUAAAAUUGUUUAUGGUGUGCGUGGAUUUUUAUUAAAGAGAUGGAAUUCUGUUGUCACAUUAUGCAUGAAAGAGUAAAUAGGUUUGGGAAUGGCUAUACUCCAACUUUGUAAUGUUUAACGUGAAGUAUGAAACCCAUAUAGCCCGCCUUACUAAUUUGGGAUUUAGAUGUAGUUGAGUUGUUCUAUGGGUGGUCUACUUGUCUUGGCAAAAAUGCAGAAAUUUUGCUAUUUGGCUAAUAGUGGUAUCUCCUUUGAGAUGCAUCUGAGCUGAGUUGUGCACUGUAGAGCAUCUGAAUUUGUUUGUAACAUGUUUGAAAUACUAUGGUGAAUAACACUGUUGAAAGAAGAAGAAGAAGAAG